rnacentral:lncRNA from 1 species
CCGCGUGGCCUGAGGCUCCGCUCUGCUUCCGGAUGGAGGGGCUUGUGGGGGGUCCCGGCCUCCUGCGCAUCCGCCGCCGCAGGCUGCAGACCAGGUCGGCGAGGCCCAGCAGAAAAGACAGCGCGCUGACCGCCCAGAGGAACAGCAUCAGCAGGGACUUCUCUGUGGGCCGCGACACGUAGCAGUCCACCACGCCCGUGCACGGAGGGCGCGUGCAAGGGAACUUCUUCGGGGCCAGGAAUCCAAAGAGAAAGUAGUGCAAGGCCCCGAAGGCUGCCUCCAGCAGGGUCCGGAGGAGGAGGUGGAUGAUGUAGCCGGCCGAAAAGUCGGGCACCUGGAGGCCGCCGCGCUCCCCGAAUGGCCGCGGGCAGCGUCUCUGCCCGGAGGCCGGCUCCCGGGGGUCGGGGCAGCGGCGGGGGCCCAGCGCGGCGAGCGUGGCUCCUCGGUGCAGGACAUAGACGCUGAAGACGGCGGAGGGGAGGAGGACGCACACGCCCUGGAUCAGCCAGAACCGCAGGUGAGACACGGGGGAGAAGACGUCGUAGCAAACAUUGGCGCAUCCCGGCUGCAGCGUGUUGCAGACAAACCUCUCCUGCUCGUCCUGGUAGACGGGUCGCCCCGCCAAGACAAUCACCAGCAUCCGCAGCAGCAUCGUGAGGACGAACCAGAGCUUUCCUGGAAGAGAGGAAGCGGGCAUGGCCUCAUCACCCCGAAUACACUGCCCUGACCACACCAGGGUUGCACACAAACACCCCUCCACCUGCUUUGGUCUUUGGAGUCAGCACCCCAGUGUCAGCACAGGAUGAUCUGUGAGAGAACAAUGUCAAACGCAAGACUCCCUUACAUGACGGAGGAACCGCGGAACCAUUCAAAGAAACUAGAAGCCUCAGCUCUCUUCCCUCCAGAAAGGCACAGCCCUUUCUUUUGGGAGUGGGUGGACUUUCAGCUUGGUGCUUGCACACUGAAAAUGAGUAAAUACCUGGACCCUUUAAGGACUCAAUUCCACCAUGGCAGUGGAAAUAAAAACAGCGCAGGAGUUUGGAGAUGGUCCCAAUACUCACCCACCAUGGUCACGUUGCAGUUUAAUGUGAUGAUGAGAAACCCUAGCAAGUCCACGCCUUCCAUGCUUCCAGAAUGUCCCAGGCUCCAGGCUGCAGGAGACACUGGAGGGCUGUGUUCUCCAAGGAGGCGGAUAAAUGUCCUUUAACUACAUAAGACUUAAAGGUGUGAGCUGGAGAUAAGAAAGCAAAGGUCUGAGCCAGGAGUAGGAGGUGGGUUUUUCUGUCUCCAAGUUGAGACGGCCCUAAGCCGUUUGCCUCUGAGGCGAAACAUUCCUGACAACUGCAGUGACCAGCAGAGCAAGCAGCAGUCAUCUCUUAUUGUGGGCUAUUCUUACUCGCCUGGGAUAUUCCCGGCCUGUGGCAGCGCUCAUAUGUCCCCACCAGGACAGCCAGAUGCUUCAGGAUAUAAUAGCAGCAACUACUUUUAACCCAAGAAAGAAAACUUCUGCUAACUAGCCAAGUAAAUUUCUCUAUUAAAAAGGCAUUUCCUCCUUGAAAACAUUUCCACAACCACUUCACUUGUGCAAGAAGCCCUUAAAGUGUUCACGUUUUGUCUUCUCAAUCAAGCAUGAAUCGCCAUGCCACCAUCACACGAACCCACAAGGAUCUCGCCCUUAUUCUGAAUUCCUGUGUCAUUGGUGCAGGCAGAAAUCUGAAACUCAGUUGGGUGUCCCAACUUUAGACCGUGACUUGGUUAUUCUCCUGCUGCUUCCUGUGCAGUGAGUGACAACUCUUCGCUUGGAGACAAAAGCCUGGGUGCAAAGCCCGGGGCAGCCCCCUACUCACUGGGGAAGUCAUUGGAUCCUUCCAGAUAGCCUCAUCUUGCAAUAAGGAGAAUCAUGCCAUUCCACUUGCCAUUUGUGGGAGGCUUAUGUGAAAUGAUGGUGUAGAAUAAGAGCAACUGGUGUGAAGUGGGUGUACGACAACCCAUAUCCGUGGGAUUUCAAUCCCUAAUUGGCCUCUACGACCUUCACAGAUUACAUCUUCCCUUUGUAUCUCCCAGCCCCAUCUAGCCUGGAGCUGUUCCCAUUGAAUCUACUUAAUAAAUGUCUGUUAAAUCUGUCAUGAA